AUGAAGCAUGUUAAUUAUUCUAGCAAACUUACUUGUGUACAUGACGCUGCUCUCCCGUCUCCUGUUCUGAAGCUUCUCCCUCCGUCCACUGAAGAGCUGAAGACUAAUAAAGCCACUCUAGUGUGUUUGGCCAGCGACAUGUCUGUCGGUUUCGCUGACGUGAGUUGGCUCGUGGACGGGAACUCGGUCACCAGUGGAGUCGUCACCGGCUCUGCACAGCAGCAGGACAAUAAGAAGUUCACACUGAGCAGCUAUUUGACCAUCGACAGCUCCGAGUGGGACAACGACAAAGUCAUAACGUGUGAAGUGUCUGCUGGAGGAAAAGCCGCAUCGGUGAAGAUUAACAAGUCUGAAUGCAGUGAAUGA